GACGAACGCUGGCGGCGUGCUUAACACAUGCAAGUCGAACGGAAAGGCCCUGCUUUUGUGGGGUGCUCGAGUGGCGAACGGGUGAGUAACACGUGAGUAACCUGCCCUUGACUUUGGGAUAACUUCAGGAAACUGGGGCUAAUACCGGAUAGGAGCUCCUGCUGCAUGGUGGGGGUUGGAAAGUUUCGGCGGUUGGGGAUGGACUCGCGGCUUAUCAGCUUGUUGGUGGGGUAGUGGCUUACCAAGGCUUUGACGGGUAGCCGGCCUGAGAGGGUGACCGGCAAAAUGGGGACGGAGAUACGGCCCAGACUCCGAGGGGAGGAAGAAGGGGGGAAUAUGGAAAAAGGGGCGGAAGCAUGAUGCAGCAACGCCGGGGGCGGGAUGACGGCCGUCGGGUUGUAAACCGCUUUCGCCGGUGAAGAAGCGGGAGGGAGGGUAAGGGGUAAAGAAGCACCGGAAAAAUACGUG
rnacentral:rRNA from 1 species